CUACAGGUUGCAGAAGAAAAUGGCUGGUGGAAAUGUAGCAAGGAGAGUCACGUGGUUUUGAAAUGAGAUAUAUAGAGAAGACCUGCAAUACACUGAACUACUGAACUCUGUAAUAGAUUUUGACAUAGAAAGAUGAAGAUGAUGUGGUUCUAAGGAUGCUAUGGUCCGGAGGAGGAGACAGUCAUGCCAGUGGAAUGUGGCGAGCACUGCAGUGAGUAACAUGGGGAGGGCUCCUUCAGGAAGACUUCACAGAGGAAGCACCUCUGCAAUUGCUUCAGGUUCUUACCCAGCUGCCAUCAGCUUCAAUAGAUCUGUGCUGCAUAGUGAUCCUGCAACCAGUGGAAGUCUCCAAAUCUGUGGUGGUCGACCAGAAUAAAUAGCAACAUUGAGAACGACAACCCUGUCUAUGGCCAUACCACCCUGAACACGCCCGAUCUCAUCUGAUCUCGGAAGCUAAGCAGGGUCAGGCCUGGUUAGUACUUGGAUGGGAGAAUGACAACCCUGCAGACAUCUUCAGCGGGAAGUGAGACCCUCUCAGUUUAAGGACAAUAUCAAGUGACAACAGUUUCCUCUCCAAAUGAUACAAAUUAGU